UAAUAUUGUUGCCAGAUGGGCCAAAAAAGAUUAUUUGGUCAGACCGCCGAGUCGCUCUUCCUCAUUUCCAUUUUGGACGAGGUUAGAACGACCAGCAGCAGUUUCGCUUUGCUCUGCACAGAACACCCACAACAGUUCCACGGGAGUCCGAGUAGCCCCAGUCGCCAGGAGUCGAGUGUAUCCAGUAUACCCAGAGUAUUAUUACCCAGUAUCUCCCAGGCACAGCGUGCGUUUCGUUUGUCAUCCAGACUACUAGAAACGUCAAGAACAUCCACAUACUCUCUCCCUGAAGCAGACGAGCAAGAUACUGUGUCCAAACGUGCGAGGAAAUCGCCUUUUACUGAUCCACACGUGAAUACAGAGGAAAUCAAAAUUGAAGGAGUAAUGGCACCACACGAUCGUGAUUUCGGUCAAAAUUCCCGUGGCGGUCGCGAUGGCCGCGGUGGCGGUGAAGACCGUCGCGGCGGAGGUGGCGGCGGCGGCGGAGGAGGAGGGUCCCGCUUUGGCGCUGGUGGCGGCGGAGGCGAUUACCAUGGCGUCCGCAAUGGACGGAUUGAGAAGCGUCGCGAUGAUCGCGGCGGCGGCGGUGGAGGCGGCGGAAACCGCUUUGGCGGCGGUGGAUUCGGUGGCGAUCGUCGCGGAGGCGGCGGUAGCCAGGAUCUGCCAAUGCGCCCAGUCGACUUCUCCAAUCUGACGCCGUUCAAGAAGAACUUCUAUCAGGAGCACGCCACCGUUUCGGCCCGUUCCCCGUACGAGGUGCAGCGGUAUCGCGACGAGCACGAGAUCACUGUGCGCGGCCAGGCCCAGAAUCCCAUUCAGGACUUCGGUGAGGUAUACUUGCCCGAAUACGUGACGAAGGAGAUCCGCCGCCAGGGCUACAAGGAGCCGACACCCAUUCAGGCGCAGGGCUGGCCCAUCGCGAUGAGCGGUGCGAACUUUGUGGGCAUUGCCAAGACCGGCUCGGGCAAGACCCUGGGCUACAUUCUGCCCGCCAUCGUGCACAUCAACAACCAGCAGCCGCUGCAGCGCGGCGACGGACCCAUUGCCCUGGUGCUGGCGCCAACGCGUGAGCUGGCCCAGCAGAUCCAGCAGGUGGCCACCGAGUUCGGUUCGUCCUCGUAUGUGCGCAACACCUGCGUUUUCGGAGGCGCCCCUAAGGGUGGCCAGAUGCGCGAUCUGCAGCGCGGAUGCGAGAUUGUUAUUGCCACGCCCGGUCGCCUCAUUGAUUUCCUCUCGUCGGGCGGCACGAAUCUGAAACGAUGCACCUACCUGGUGCUGGACGAGGCCGAUCGUAUGCUGGACAUGGGCUUCGAACCCCAGAUCCGCAAGAUUGUCUCACAGAUCCGUCCCGACCGUCAGACGCUCAUGUGGAGCGCCACCUGGCCCAAGGAGGUCAAGCAGCUGGCCGAGGAUUUCCUCGGCAACUACAUCCAGAUCAACAUCGGUUCCCUCGAAUUGUCAGCCAAUCACAACAUCCGCCAGGUGGUGGAAGUGUGCGAUGAGUUUAGCAAGGAAGAGAAGCUUAAGAGUCUCCUGUCGGACAUUUAUGACACCAGCGAGAAUCCCGGCAAGAUCAUCAUCUUUGUGGAGACGAAGCGACGCGUGGACAAUCUGGUGCGAUUCAUACGCAGCUUCGGCGUGCGCUGCGGCGCCAUUCACGGCGACAAGUCGCAGUCGGAGCGUGAUUUUGUCCUGCGCGAAUUCCGUUCGGGCAAAUCGAACAUUCUGGUAGCCACCGAUGUGGCGGCCCGUGGUCUGGAGGCCGAUUGUUGUAGUAUGAUGGGGAGGAUAAAUGAGAUAAAUGAGCUACCCGUGCGACCCUUGCGAGUACUCGUAACUUGAGCGACUUUUGCCAAUCUCCAAUGAGAAUUUUAAUUUGGGCAAAAGGAUCUAUGAAAGUUUCUGACGAUCGAGAUUCGUUUCGGCUUGGAUACGCGCAUGAGAGACACGACAUAUCCCCAACAUCAUGCAUCAUAUGUGGCCUCUGCAGUCUGUAUUGAGAAAGAGUUUAAUUGCGACCAACAAUCAAUCAAUCAACAACAACGCAGCCAGCCUCAGGCAACCAUCACAACACAACCCAACCCUGGCCAACACUUGCCAGCAGCCGCCCCAGCAGCUAGCAGUUAGAAGGCGGCGCUACAAAGCAGGCAAAAAACAAAUAAAAAGACAUCCCCAGAAGGCUAGAGGCUGUCAAAACAUCGGCGGCGCCCAGACAGCAUCAGCAACAGAGACCACCACCAAGGUGUGACCCUUGCCCUGCCUGCCAUUCCUGCCCUGACCUGCCAGCGGAUGCACCACCAAAAAGCAAGCAGCCAAGCAAAAGACAAACCCACCCACCCACACGCACCUGAACACCACACCAGCCACAAAAAUCAGAUCAGAUCCUCACCCCACACACACACACACCAACCAACCAAACAACCAACCGACACCUGCCGAGCACGCCCACAGUCUACUCGUAGUUGCUUGUGGAGAGAGAACGAACCGAACUGAACCGAACGAUGAGGAGAGCGUUGUGUGCGGGAUUGAGUGAGGGAGCGGAUCGGAUCGGAGCGAUAUGUGGGCUGUGGGUUGAAGAUGAUGCGGAAUUUCUGCUGACGGUUCUGCUGUCUCCUGUUCUCGUCGUCACUGCUGCUGCUGCUGAGUGCGCCUAGCUACCACGCCCACUGCCUGACUGCCUGUGCCUGUGCCUGCGCCUGCGCCGCCGCCAUCGACAAUGGCCCGUCAUAAUGUGUGGUGGCGACUGCUACUGGACAGGCCGUUUGUUGUUGUGUUACCGUUACCCCUCCUGGCCAACGCAUCUAGCGGCGCGCCUCCGUCCUGUCCUCCUGUCUAUGCGGAGGAUGCGGUUGACGUUGCCGGUGCCAAUGCUGCGGUUUGCCUGCCGGUGCCGUGGCCAUACUACCGUUGAGCAUGGCCAUGACAGUUGCCGUUGGCGUUGGCCGCCUCCACAAACACACCUACACACGCGAGAGUACUACCACUACUCGCGUAUAUAGAGAGAGGCGCACGCGGCUCAAUGCAACAAACUCUCGCCGCCCGCUUCGCCGUGCGAUUCUUUUUUUGGGAGAGUUUGGACCACGAGCUGCGCGACGCCACAAAAGCUUUGAGAUUUUGAUUGAGAGAGAAAAUUGAGUGAAACAAUUUAUAGCACCAAGAAGAUGUGGAUGGCAUUAAGUAUGUCAUCAACUUUGACUACCC